rnacentral:lncRNA from 1 species
UACAAUUGAAAACCAUGGGUGAAGACCACUUUACACUUUCACUUUUGGUUCACUUUUACUACUAUUACUUCUUUCUUCUUUCAAUGAAGAUGAGAUCUACAAAGGUGUGCUAAAGAAAAUUUGGUAUUAUCAUUUUUUUUCUCAACAGGAAGAUCUCUACUUUCCGCUUCUUUUUCUUUCACAUGUUUUUUUAUGUUUUUUUGUUGUUAUUUUUUUCAUUUGUAGAAUCUGUGUUUCCUUUUUGAUUUGAUGGUGGAUUUGUGUAGUGACUUGUGUUUUAUGGUUAUAAAAAUUUGUGUGUUAAAAAAUUUCUCCCGAUUUUUCUUUGGUUUAUUUGGUUCUCUACUAUCUCUUGGAUAUGAUUUUUUUUUUUCAAUUUGUGUUUUAGCAAAACCUUUACUCAUGCAUAUGUUUGUGGAUUGAAGAAAUUCUCAUUUUGUGUUUCAAAUUAUUCUUUCUUUAUAAUCUAUGAAUCACAUGAUUUUAGUAACCUUGACUUUUUCCGGAUAAGCUUUAGCUUUAUGUUGGCGUUUCCAUGCUAUUGGACUGCGAUUUUUUGUUUUUGUUUUAAUUUUGGCUUUGAUUUUUAUGUGCUUGUGCCUUCUUUUCAAUCGUAAGCUAUAAUUGAUAAUUGUAUCCUACAUUCUCAAUCUGAUUAUCUUUUUAUAUUUUAUUCAUUGUGAUGUGACCCUGUUUUUUUCCCUGUAUAAACCACUGGUUAACUAGCCAUUUUCUUAUCUUCUGACACUUAUAGCCAUAGGCUAUAGCGUAUUCUUGCAAUUUACUAUUGAAAAAUUAUCAGAUCAAUUAAUCACCUCCAUCUUGGAUUUGAUCCUUUCCUUGCAUUUGUGGCACUCACCAUAGGACUUCAUAUUUUUUAUAUGGAUAGAAAAUAAUAUUACUAACAUUUUAUUUCUUCUGUAAAGGUUGUCUUUUUGCUUUUUUUGUUGCCAAUUUGCAACAAAUAUUUCCAUAAUUCAUUUCCUCGAGAUUUGCCGGUGAUUAUCUCUUGAUAUAAGCAUUUUUAUCAAUAAGGUGUUCUGGUAAUUUGGGUAGCUAAUUAUGCAUGAUUACAAGCUGGCCUUUUAUCUUCCUUAAAAUUUUAUUUCUUAUGUAAAGAUUGUUUAUUUUUGCCCUUUUUUCUCAGGUUAUCAAUGUGAUGUAUUUUGAGAAUUUUUGUGUACUCUUAAGCUGUUUUAGAGUUCUCUCUCCAGAACAAGAAAAACAGUAUCUGGUCCCAGAAAAUUUAAAUCUUUUUCCAAUUGGUCUUUUAGGACGGAAAAACUGAUUGUGUCCCUUCCUAAUAGGCUCAUGCGCAAAAGGUUGACUGUAAUAAGCUGGUUCUUAAAAACUUUUUGGGAGGCUCAUGCGCAAAAGGUUGACUGUAAUAAGCUGGUUCUUAAAAACUUUUUGGGAUGGUAAAAAGUCUAAUCGUAAUAUGUUGUCCUAAUCAACUAACUACUUGUAAUAAUCUUUUUUACGAGGAUAUAUCUCGUCUCA